rnacentral:rRNA from 1 species
UACGGAGGAGGCAAGCGUUAUCCGGAAUUAUUGGGCGUAAAGCGUCCGUAGGGGGUUGACCAAGUCUGCUGUCAAAGGGUGGGGCUUAACCUCAUAAAGGCAGUGGAAACUGGUGAGCUAGAGUGCGGUAGGGGUAAGGGGAAUUCCAAGUGUAGCGGUGAAAUGCGUAGAGAUUGGGAAGAACAUCGGUGGCGAAAGCGCCUUGCUGGGCCUGCACUGACACUGAGGGAAGAAAGCUAGGGGAGCGAAAGGG